rnacentral:lncRNA from 1 species
GAAGAUGGCGGACUCAGUGGCCCGCUGAUGAGGAGGCCCCGGGGGGAGCCCGGCUCCCGGGCCCCGAGACCUGCUGAGAGAGUGACCUACGCGGGGUCCGGGGAGUCAUGUAGGGUGGCGCCUGCGGGGCGGACCUCGGUUGGGCGGCGGGAGCUCGUGUUAGUGGUGGAGGCCACGGACUGCUAGCCUCUUGGGGCCGGGACAGGGUGUGGGGGCCCCUCCCGCGGACAGCAUCAGCUCCGCGCCUUGGCAGACGGCUCACUCGGGCUCGGCGCGCGCCCUGCGAGGUUGCGCUGUGUUCUCAUUUCACUAGUUUGGAGGCUUAGGCAGAGAGGCGAAGACAUUAGUCCAAGGUCACGCAGCUGGUAAGUGGGAGCGCCCAGCAUGGGACCCAGCACCGGCCCGCUGCAGAGCCUGCGUUCCACCCACCCCGCCGCCGCCUCCUGCGGGAGGGGGAGGUGGUCGGCAGGGCUCGUCGCCGGGACCACCGGGGCUCCAGGCUGGGUGCGACCACUAGCCCUUUGAAUGACCUCGGGCUUAACCUCUCCGCCGCUCUGGGCCUUGUUUCUCCACCUGUGAAAUGAGGUAAUGCCAGCCCUGCUACUCCUCAUCAGCGUGCACGGAGCAUCGAAGGAGAUAUGCAUGUGAAAUGUGAAUAGAGUUGCACUGAGCACAUUUAAAGAAUUAGGGCUUCUACUUUAAGGAAUGUGGGGGGAGAGGGGCAGGGUGGAACCAGAAUACCAGAGCAGUCACAGGGGCUUUUUUUUUUUUUUUUUUUUACCUCAGGCCCUUUGGAUGGGGAGUUGGGUAAGGACUAGAUAGCAUAUUUCCCCUUGGAGGAAACCUCACCCGGUUUUCUGGGCCACCCCCUCAGGGUCUCCACCACCCAGCUCCAUGCUUCGAAUCCUGCUCUCUGCCCAGACUUCCCCUGCUCGGCUGUCUGGUUUGCUGCUCAUCCCGCCAGUACAGCCCUGUUGUUUGGGACCCAGCAAGUCCGGGGACCGGCCUUUUGGAGGAGGCCCUGUGCAAGGCCUUCAACGGCUUCUGGAGCAGGCACGGAGCCCUGGGGAGCUGCUGCGAUGGCUGAGUCAGAACCCCACCAAGGUUCGAGCUCAUCACUACCCUGUGGCACUUCGUCGUCUGGGCCAGCUCUUGGUGUCUCAACCUAGGCCCUCUCCUGUGGAGCAGGCCACGCUGCAGGACUUGAGUCAGCUCAUCAUCCGAAACUGCCCCUCCUUUGACGUUCACACCAUCCAUGUGUGUCUACACCUUGCAGUCUUACUUGGCUUCCCAUCAGAUGGACCACUCCUGUGUGCCCUCGAGCAGGAGCGAAGGUCCCGUGUCCCUCCAAAACCGCCCUCCCCACGUCAGCCUGCCAUCUACGGUGGUCAAAGGUUGGAAGCGGCCCUGAGCUGCCCCCGUUUCCU